UAAGGAAUAUUGGGCAAUGGACGCAAGUCUGACCCAGCCAUGCCGCGUGGAGGAUGAAGGUCCUCUGGAUUGUAAACUUCUUUUAUUUGGGAAGAAACCCGAUUUUUCUAAGUCGGUUGACGGUACCAGAUGAAUAAGCACCGGCUAACUCCGUGCCAGCAGCCGCGGUAAUACGGAGGGUGCAAGCGUUAUCCGGAUUCACUGGGUUUAAAGGGUGCGUAGGCGGGCAGGUAAGUCAGUGGUGAAAUCUCCGGGCUUAACCCGGAAACUGCCGUUGAUACUAUCUGUCUUGAAUAUCGUGGAGGUAAGCGGAAUAUGUCAUGUAGCGGUGAAAUGCUUAGAUAUGACAUAGAACACCGAUUGCGAAGGCAGCUUACUACACGAUCAUUGACGCUGAGGCACGAAAGCGUGGGGAGCAAACAGGAUUAGAUACCCCCGUAGUCC
rnacentral:rRNA from 1 species